rnacentral:rRNA from 1 species
AUUGAACGCUGGCGGCAGGCCUAACACAUGCCAGUCGAGCGGAUGAAGGGAGCUUGCUCCUGUAUUCAGCGGCGGACGGGUGAGUAAUGCCUAGGAAUCUGCCUGGUAGUGGGGGAUAACGUCCGGAAACGGGCGCUAAUACCGCAUACGUCCUGAGGGAGAAAGUGGGGGAUCUUCGGACCUCACGCUAUCAGAUGAGCCUAGGUCGGAUUAGCUAGUUGGUGGGGUAAAGGCCUACCAAGGCGACGAUCCGUAACUGGUCUGAGAGGAUGAUCAGUCACACUGGAACUGAGACACGGUCCAGACUCCUACGGGAGGCAGCAGUGGGGAAUAUUGGACAAUGGGCGAAAGCCUGAUCCAGCCAUGCCGCGUGUGUGAAGAAGGUCUUCGGAUUGUAAAGCACUUUAAGUUGGGAGGAAGGGCAGUAAGUUAAUACCUUGCUGUUUUGACGUUACCAACAGAAUAAGCACCGGCUAACUUCGUG